rnacentral:rRNA from 1 species
CUCUCCUACGGGAGGCAGCAGUGAGGAAUAUUGGUCAAUGGUCGGGAGACUGAACCAGCCAAGCCGCGUGAGGGAUGAAGGUACAGAGUAUCGUAAACCUCUUUUGUCAGGGAACAAAGGCGGGGACGCGUCCCCGGAUGAGUGUACCUGAAGAAAAAGCAUCGGCUAACUCCGUGCCAGCAGCCGCGGUAAUACGGAGGAUGCGAGCGUUAUCCGGAUUUACUGGGUGUAAAGGGUGUGCAGCCGGAGAGACAAGUCAGAUGUGAAAUCCACGGGCUCAACCCGUGAACUGCAUUUGAAACUGU